rnacentral:tRNA from 1 species
GAGGGUAUAGCUCAGGUAGUAGAGUGUGUGCUUAGCAUGCACGAGGUCCUGGGUUCAAACCCCAGCACCUCCA